rnacentral:rRNA from 1 species
UACGUAGGGAGCAAGCGUUGUCCGGAAUCAUUGGGCGUAAAGCGCGCGUAGGCGGCCCUGUAAGUCCGUUGUGAAAGUCAAAGGCUCAACCUUUGAAAGCCGAUGGAUACUGCAGGGCUAGAGUCCGGAAGAGGCGAGUGGAAUUCCAGGUGUAGCGGUGAAAUGCGUAGAUAUCUGGAGGAACACCGGUGGCGAAGGCGGCAUCCUGGACCGGCAUUGACGCUGAGGAGCGAAAGCCAGGGGAGCAAACGGG